AAUAGCUCUGGGAACUGUCAUGGGUUAGGGAAAUGGGCAGGAUGGCUUGACUUCCACUAUAUCGUGGAACAACUGUAUCAUGGUUCAUCUCUUCUUCUUUCUUUCACCUCCUUCGUAUAUCAGCUUUUCUCAAGGCUGCUAACAUGGACCCUGGCAUCAGCAUCACCUAGGAGCUCUCAGAAAUGCAGAAUCUUGGACCUCUCCCCAGAGCAACUGAAUUAGAGUCUGCAUCUUAUCAAGACCCCAAGAUUUAUUUAUUUGUUUUGGAAACAGCAUGCACAAGCAGUUGGGAGUGGGUGGAGGUGCCCAGAGGGAGAGAAGCAAAUUUCCUGCUGAGCGCAGAGCCCAGCUCAGAGCUGGAUCCUAGGACCCUGAGAUCAUGACCUGAGCUGAAA
rnacentral:lncRNA from 1 species